GUCACAGAAAAACACAUUGCUCACAAAGACAGAAGGAGAGCAUCACCAAAAAAUGAACUUCAGCAACUAUCAUUUAAAAUAAGUGAUGUUCACCCUCUCACAAUAUCUGAAACAACUUUAUAAAAAAAGUUUUUUCUUCAGUUCUGACCUGUACAGUCUUGGCAUGGGACGAUAUGAAGAUUUCAUGUCACGAUCAUCCUGACCAAAAUAUUCAUGAUUCACGAUAUUAUCCCGGUAAUCAUCAAAAUAUUCUUAAAACUCUUGAAAAUGGCACUAAAACAUACUGGAAUCACUUUACCUUACAUUUUCGUUAAGAAACAAAUAUUUUUAUUGCGUCACAGAUAGGACUAAUCUUUUUUUUUUGUAAAUGUUCCUUU